GGGAAUCUCCAGAUUCUAUCCAGGUAGGAAUGCUUGGGAAUCUCCAGAUUCUAUCCAGGUAGGAAUGCUUGGGAAUCUCCAGAUUCUAUCCAGGUAGGAAUGCUUGGGAAUCUCCAGAUUCUAUCCAGGUAGGAAUGCUUGGGAAUCUCCAGAUUCUAUCCGGGUAGGAAUGCUUGGGAAUCUCCAGAUUCUAUCCAGGUAGGAAUGCUUGGGAAUCUCCAGAUUCUAUCCAGGUAGGAAUGCUUGGGAAUCUCCAGAUUCUAUCCAGGUAGGAAUGCUUGGGAAUCUCCAGAUUCUAUCCAGGUAGGAAUGCUUGGGAAUCUCCAGAUUCUAUCCGGGUAGGAAUGCUUGGGAAUCUCCAGAUUCUAUCCAGGUAGGAAUGCUUGGGAAUCUCCAGAUUCUAUCCAGGUAGGAAUGCUUGGGAAUCUCCAGAUUCUAUCCGGGUAGGAAUGCUUGGGAAUCUCCAGAUUCUAUCCAGGUAGGAAUGCUUGGGAAUCUCCAGAUUCUAUCCAGGUAGGAAUGCUUGGGAAUCUCCAGAUUCUAUCCGGGUAGGAAUGCUUGGGAAUCUCCAGAUUCUAUCCAGGUAGGAAUGCUUGGGAAUCUCCAGAUUCUGUCCAGGUAGGAAUGCUUGGGAAUCUCCAGAUUCUAUCCAGGUAGGAAUGCUUGGGAAUCUCCAGAUUCUGUCCAGGUAGGAAUGCUUGGGAAUCUCCAGAUUCUAUCCGGGUAGGAAUGCUUGGGAAUCUCCAGAUUCUAUCCAGGUAGGAAUGCUUGGGAAUCUCCAGAUUCUAUCCAGGUAGGAAUGCUUGGCUCCUCCCCCUGGGCUCCCAUCUCCCAAUGGAUGCUGCAGCUCUUAUCAGCCAUGCAGGGACAUUCCAUGGCUGUUAUCAGGUGUCCCCCAGAGGGAGGAGUGAUUGGGAUCACUCAGAGAUAAGGAAAACUGCCCACUGCCCCACAGAUGGUGAUAGAACACAUCCUGCCUUGCAGUCUGGAACAGAUCCCAAACCACACCCACAAAACAUGCAGGAAUUUUAAAAAAAUUAAUAAAUAAAUAAUUAAGAGGGGGGAAAGGCUGAAUAAAUUCACCACGAAUUGGGGGGGAAAAAAGGGUACAUAAAUAUUUAUAAUGUGCUUGGUUAAUGGCUCUUUGCAUCUAUAGGAUGUGAAUUUUAGAACUAAUGUAAGUUAAAAUAUCAUCUGACUAAUCCUGUGUAUUCCAGCUGCACCUGAGUAGUGCUUGUAGAUUCUUGUUUUAAAAGAAAACCCCUCAUAAUUCACAUUUCCUGUGCAUUUUGAUACAAAUAUCUGUCAACUAGUGGAGCACUUAGGAAUAUCCUCAUUUAAAGGGAGAUGCAGAGGAAAUGAUGUCCAAACCCUAUUUAAGCAUGAAUGAUUAUGCCAAUAGCACUUUAAAUUAAUUUAGUGCAUUUAAUCAAUAUUUCCAGUGUAAAUGCUAAUUUCUUUCUGGUUCUCCUGUCACUUCUGUAUUGUCUUCAAUUAUUUCUCAGGCAGGAAUAAUAUUCUUAAAUUACCAAGUGGCUUCAUUAUAGAUGCAAAGUAAUUUAGAUCCUGUCUGUGGCCUUGCUGGCCUGCAGAACAGAUCAUUAAUGAUUCACAGAUGAAUAUUUGAUGUACAAAUCCUAUUUAGCUUAAGUGAUUCUGCCAAUAGGACUUGAAAUUAAUUUACUCCAUUUAAUCUAUAUUUCCAGUAGUAAUUAUCUUUUUUUUUUAAUCUGCUAAUUUCCUAAAUGGAAAACAUAAAGAUAAAUAAAUAGUUGGUGAAUGUAAAUGUGCUUCAUGUAGGUUAGGUGAGGAGUGGAGCUCCACAUGUCUCUCAUGUGGGUUUAAAUUGAAAAUUGGCUUUUUUCCCUUCAUAUUUCAUGUGACUCUCUCAGCACAUUGCAACCCUUCAGUUCAUCCCCUCAUAUCCAGUGGUUACCCCUAGCUGGGGGUAAAUAAUAAAUAAAUAUAUUCAUUUUUUUCACCUUUGCCAUUUUGCAAUACCCUGAAGCGAUGAAGAAAUCCCAGUUUUUGUUUUCUCUUGGAAAGUUGCUGGUCCCUGGAGCUUUGGUAUUGCAGUGCACUAUUUGAAGUUAAGAGGCUUAACCUGAGAAAAACAUCAUAAAUACAAACUCCCCUUGCUGGGUAACACAGGGUCAGUGAUAUCCCUGUUCCAUAAUUCCCAAAAACCUACAAAUUCCAGUCCAAUUUUUCAUUUUUAAUUCUCAGCUCCAUGGGAUAGGAGUGCUUAAAGACAGCAUAUUCCUUUCCAAAAUGUCCUGGAGAAGAUUUGCAUGAUUCCAGGAUGAUUUUUCUGCUGGCUCUGCUGGCAGGUUUAAUUAAGAGCAGAGGCCUUUCAUGUUUGUCUGUGUCAGUAAAAUAUUAAUUCCCCAUCAAGUGACACUGUGGGGACCAAAAACCAUUUAAUUCCAUGGGUUUGUGUGACUGGGUGUAAAGCUUAACCAAAGGACAGGGGAAUAAGGUGAAGAAUGGCUUGGUUCUUUGAAAUAAAAUAAUAAAAUAAAAUAAAAUAUAAAAUGAAAUCAUAAAAUCAGAGCUAAGAAGUGCUGAUAACCCCUGGCACUCUUGUUUUCACAGAGCACAACCAACCCCACUUUUGUCAUUGGGAUCAUUGGGAUGUUUCCAGAAAUUAGAUCAGUGCAGGCCCUUAGGAUAGGAAGUCUAAGGUCAGCCAAUAACUAAAAAUAUCUGAUUAUCAGCCAACAUGUGCAUUAGAUACUAGGGAAAAACUAUUUAGAGCAAGCACACAACUCCAAAUAAUAACCAAAGGAUUUGAUGCUUUGAGAUAGAAUUUAUGCUCUGAAAAAUCUCACUUAGGGAGAGAGGCUGGACACUGAGGAUUCAAAGUGAGAAAGGAAUUAACUAGCAGAGCCAGCAUUUUUUACUAAUACUAUUUAUUAUUAAAGUUUAAUUUAAAAUAUUUAUUAAUAGUAUGUAUUAGUAAUUUUUAUUAAUGAAGGUGAGAAUUUGGGAGCCUUUGUUGUACUUGAAUUCAUUUGGGAAUUGACAGUACAAAUUGAAAUGUCUCCUCAGAGUGGACCAGCUUUUUUAUGAUUUUUAAAUAAAUUUUUUUAAGGUUUUAACAGAUUUGUUCCCAGCUGGGGAUGGGUUUGGAUCCAAGCAGCUUCAAAAAAAAAGAGAAAUAAAAAUUCCUGCUGUCCUUCCCUGGGUGUCAGGGAUCCCUCACCCCAUCCAAACUCUGAGAAAUGAGAGGUCAGGGACACUGAGAGGAGCAUUUUGGGUGGAGUUUUAUAUUCCAGAAUUGUGGAACUCUGGGCCAUUGUCCCUGGAGCACAACUCCCCCUAAAAGGUGGAAUUCCAUGUUCAGCCAGGUGUUGUGAUUGAGCUGAAUUCUGGGGGUCACUCAGGAAUUGCUGCUGACACACAUCUCACCCCUUUUCCCACCAGUUUGUACUAAAAACCACAGUCCCAGCUGGUUUUGGGCAGUGCAGGGAAUACCAAUAAAUAUUCCAAUAAAUAUUCCAAUAAAUAUUCCAAUAUUCCUCUGGGUGCUCAAGGUGUUUGAUAAAACCAAACCCUUUUAAUAAGCUUGAUGGCCCUUUGGAGAUCCUGUUGGGGUGGGAGGUCUGCUGCAAAUAAAUCAAGGACUGGGAAAUAAAUUAUCCAGCAGAAAAAAACCCUCACAUUUUCCUUAGGAGCCCAAACUUCUAAUUUUGCCAAUCCAUCUUUUUGGGAUGGCCAUUCCUGGUUUGAGGGCCUUGCUCCCUGUGCUUUGAUGAGAACCUUGAUGCUGCAGAGCAAUUCCUGUGGAAUAUCCCUGGUAAUUCCCAGGUUUUUGUCCAGGAAAGCAACAUGCCCAUCCAGGAGAACCUGUUGGGGUGGGAGGUCUAGAAAUAAAUCAAAGAUUGGGAAAUAAAUUCUCCCACAAAGAAAUUCCACAUUUUCCUUAGGAGCCCACACUUCCUAUUUUAUCAAUCCAUCUCUUUUGGGAUGACUGUUCUUGGUGUGAGUGCCCUGCUCCCUGUGCUUUGGUGAGAGCCAUGAUGCUGCAGAGCAACAAGGAAAUAUCCCAGUGGAAAUAUCCACAAAAAUCCCACAUUUUUCUCAGGAGUCCAAACCUCCAAUUUUGCCAGUCCAUCCCUUUUGGAAUGACUGUUCUUGGUGUGAGUGCCCUGGUCCUGUGAUUUGGUGAGAGCCUUGAUGCUGCAGAGCAAUUCCCGUGGAAUAUCCCUGGUAAUUUGAAUUUUGCCCAAGAAAGUGACAUGCUCAUCCAGGAGAUCCUGUUGGGGUGGGAGGUUUGCUGGAGAUAAAUCAAGGAUUGGGAAAUAAUCCCACAGAGAAGCCCCACAUUUUCCUUAGGAGCCCAAAGUUCCAGUUAAUGCUGCCAGUCCAUAGUGACUGUCCUUGGUGUGGGUGCCCUGCUGGCUGUGCCCAGGUGAGAGCCAUGAUGCUGCAGAGCAACAAGGAAAUAUCCCAGUGGAAAUAUCCACAAAAAUCCCACAUUUUUCUCAGGAGUCCAAACCUCCAAUUUUGCCAGUCCAUCCCUUUUGGAAUGACUCUUCUUGGUGUGAGUGCCAUGCUGGCUGUGCCCUGGUGAGAGCCACGAUGCCAGGGAGCAGUUCCUGUGGGAUGUCCCAGUUAAUGCCCAGUUUGUGUGGGG